AACUUUCAACAACGGAUCUCUUGGUUCUGGCAAUCGAUGAAGAACGCAGCGAAAUGCGAUAAGUAGUGUGAAUUGCAGAAUUCAGUGAAUCAUCGAAUCUUUGAACGCACAUUGCGCCCCUUGGUAUUCCAUGGGGCAUGCCUGUGCGAGCGUCAUU
rnacentral:rRNA from 1 species